rnacentral:rRNA from 1 species
UUAAACUGAAGAGUUUGAUCAUGGCUCAGAUUGAACGCUGGCGGCAGGCCUAACACAUGCAAGUCGAGCGCGAAAGUUCCUUCGGGAAUAAGUAGAGCGGCGGACGGGUGAGU